UAUGCUACUUAACAAUAAACGCCAUUUGCCAUCCACCACAUUGGUGUCUGUGAGCUGAUGGCCCGAGCGGCCUGGGGUUGGUCGCCGUGCCGUUCCUGAACCAGGUCGCCACGCCUUCAGAAGGCAACAAGUGGUGCCGAAACCCGGGAAUAGUCGCCUGGAUUUGGGUGAACGGCGGCCGGAGCGGCAGGACCAGCCCGGCGGGGAGGACGCUCCCGGACCAGCAAGGAGGAUGGAAGCCCUUGCGAAGGUCAACAUCAUCUGCCAUCCCCACUGC